ensembl:lncRNA
AAAAAAAGAAGAACUUGAGAUUCUUAGACUGCUUCCGUGGUCUUGUUUGGGGGCUGAGCUCAUUGAGAUGCUCCUCCCUCCCCUAGCCAAGGAACAGGCUGGUAUGUUAGCUCCGCUGUGAUAAUGCUGCAUAACGAGCAGCCCACAGAAUUCCUGUGACUUACAACACUAAGUGUUCUUUUCCUUGCUCCCAGGGCUAUGGAUUGACCUGAGGGGCUCUGCUUCAGACUGUGGGUCAGGUGCAGGUGUCUCUCUGGAACCCAAUUGGCAGGAUGUGAACUACCUGGGGCAUUCUCCUGACAAAACUCAGAGGGCCAGGCCGAACCACAGAGGUGCCCAAAAACCUAUACUGUAAGCCUUGCAUCUUGUCUGUUCACAUCUCGUGUGCAGCAAGUCAGGUGGCCAGGGCUGCCCUACAUGAGACAGGAAGCCGAUGCCUGCCCCCGGGGUUGUGGAGGGCUGGCCCUGCUAACCACAUGGCAGAGAAUAGGCAUGGUUCUGUGGAAGUGAACAUGUGGGGAUAUUCCCACAUGCCACAGACCGUCCCUGGAGUCACAAUCUGUCCUUAGGACAGUAUCCAAGAGAUUGAUAUUUGGGGUGUGCCCAUCCCAAAUGUGCCUCUUCCCCUAGUUCCUGCUCCACGGGACCUGCUCUGUGGUCAGUUUCUGAGCCUGUCCCACCACCCACUGUCCACACCCACUGUCCUGAUCAGCCCUGACGCCAAUGUCAUUUCUUCCCAGUGGCUGGCUGCUGGCUUCACGCUGAGCCGGGUCCCACAUGAGAAACUGGUGCAUGCUCUGGCAAGCAGAAGUGAAAGCAGGACCAGUUUACUCCAGAUGAGCUUCAAGGCACCUGGGUUUGCCAGGGUUGUGCACCAAGUUGGGAUCCACGGUCCCCUGCCCCCCAAGGGCUCUGGUCGUGUCCCUCUGCUUCUUGGUUCUGCAGGAAAGUUGUAUCAUGUGUGUGGAGGUGGUGAGAGGGCUGUUUAUCUUCACAGCUGCUGCCAGCCUUCCCAGAGAUGUGCCCUCACCACACGUGCUGUCGCUGUGACGUGGAAGGCCGGCUGUGGGGCCCAGACGGUGCCCCCUGAGACCUGCAGUCUCUCCCACGGGGAUGCCCUCUCCUGCAUCUUGGUGCUCGCUCUAAUGGGCCAGGCAACAGGAAGGAACACAUCGUUGGUGACUUUCAGAACAUCUGUGGUGCACAGUGAGGGGGUGGAGAUCUCCAGAGGCGCAGACUUGGCUCCCCCAGGGCCUGCGGUUGGCCAGCAGAGGUCUCUGGAAAUCAGAGAGGAUGCUGCUGUGACUGAGUCUCUCGUCUUCUGAGCCAGGUGCUGUGUCUUCUCUCAAUACUCAGUCUGUGGAUGACUUUGCGUGGAAGGAUUACCAGGAAGCCAAAACUGAUGGAAUCCUUGGGUGGUCGGCCACAGGGUGGCAGGAAGAGCAGGCUGGCCCCUCCGGGGCUUUGGGUGAGCCACUGCAGGGAACCCAGCCCCUACUGUUGCCCUGGGCAACUGCUGGACUGGGGAUUGUCCUAACCUUGAAAACUGAUUACUGGCCCUGCCAGCGCCCACGGUCUCAAAGCAGAUUAAGCAGGAGGUUGGUGGGUUUAGGGACCCAGGCAUUGCCUCCUCCGGGGCAUCUAUGGCAACCCCCUUCCCACAGAGACUAGAAGGUUUCAGGUGGGCAGGUGUCUGCCCUGGGGGCUCUGGGCCUUGGGGUUUCCCGCGUAGCCCCCUUCUGCUGGGAGGGGCCCCACACAUGUGGGAUGGUCGGCCCAUCUCAGAUCAGCACAGCCUCAUCACCCGGCUGAAACCGGACACCCCUCCCUUGGCCUCUUGGCCCACAGAUCCUAUUUCAGUGCCUUCAAACAGCGUGCAAGUCCAGGUUCCUCUUAAGACACCCACCAAGCCCCUGCGGCUGCCACCUGUGCCUGGGCUGUGCUGGUCCCUCAGGGGGAAGGGAGACUCGCCUCUCAUGGCCACAAAGGGCACAUGUGAUGGGCGUCACUUGUGCGUUAGGCUAUAAGGUCAGGCUUCUGUCAGCCUCUCCUUCCUGCUCUGCUCCAUCUGCCAAUGAAGCCAGCAGCUGCCAUCUCAAGAGCCGCCUUGGGAGAGGCCCCCAGACAGGGACCGAGGACAGUGCCCGGCUGCAGAGAGCUGAAUCCUGCUGUGAGGCCUGUGCGCCAGCUUGGAGCCUUCAGACAGGCUAUGGGCUCGCCGACAUCAGCUACCGGGACUGGAGCUGUUUGUUACACAGCGAUAACUAACCGCUGGAUCCUGGUGCCCUGGUCUCCAGCAGCUCCAUGGCCUCAUCAUACCCUGAG